rnacentral:rRNA from 1 species
UCCUACGGGGCGCAGCAGUGGGGAAUAUUGCAUAAUGGGGGAAACCCUGAUGCAGCGACGCCGCGUGAAGGAAGAAGUAUUUCGGUAUGUAAACUUCUAUCAGCAGGGAAGAAAAUGACGGUACCUGACUAAGAAGCCCCGGCUAACUACGUGCCAGCAGCCGCGGUAAUACGUAGGGGGCAAGCGUUAUCCGGAUUUACUGGAUGUAAAGGGAGCGUAGGCGGUUUAGCAAGUCAGAAGUGAAAGCCCGGGGCUUAACUCCGGGA